rnacentral:lncRNA from 1 species
UUCAUGUUUUAGAAGGAAGGUAUAGUUUUGCUGCAAAAGGGAACAGAGCUCGUUAUUAUGAAUACCUUGGAUUUUGAUACUUUUAUCCUAUUCCUUUGAAUCACCUUUAGGAGAUUCACUUCCCUCCCUGAAAAAAGCAAAGAAAGGCAAGGGGGCCGGCUAAAUGAUUUAAUUGAGUUCCCGGCUCUCGCCUCCUCUGUCCCUUCUCGAGAAUGAUUAUUACGCGUAGUAGCGAUCAGUGCUUGCUUUUCCUGUUCACGCCUCCGCUGCAAUUGAUUCUGUUGGAGUAAGGCCAUGGAAUUAAGGAAAAGGCUUAUCUGCCUUUGUUGUGGGCGUAGGAAAUCCAAAUCCCAUUCGAAGAAGGUCAAGUCACCUAGUCUAGUACUACUGACUUUGCAGCGCUUACGCUAACCGCGGUUAUUCCGUUCCCAGCUGAUUCAAUAGCUGCGGUCUACCUCUAUCUAAUCUAAAACAGCGGCUAGGAGAAGAGCGUCUAGACUUGCCUUGCACCGGUAUAACUAAAGCAACGGAUAUUGAAAAGAGAAAGACAACAGCUCCUACUGCAACAGCGUCUAGGCGAAGAAUUUCAGGUUACUGUAACAGAAAAGGCUGGCACCGGUUAGUGAUUCAAUUGCCAGUCCUCAACCACUGGUUAGAAGACCCAGAUCUCCUUCCUUAACGCAGACGCUCUUGGUCUGCCGGUGCUUUAGCCAUAUCUGUUGUUUGCCUUUGCCUACGUGCUGUUGGUGUAAGCGUAACCGGUUUACUGCUAUCGAAUCAGCUCUUGGG